UACGGGGGGAGCAAGCGUUGUUCGGAUUUACUGGGCGUAAAGGGCGCGUAGGCGGCGUGACAAGUCACUUGUGAAAUCUCCGGGCUUAACCCGGAGCGGUCAAGUGAAACUGUCAUGCUAGAGUGCAGAAGGGGCAAUCGGAAUUCUUGGUGUAGCGGUGAAAUGCGUAGAUAUCAAGAGGAACACCGGAGGCGAAGGCGGCUUGCUGGACCUGGUCUGACGCUGAGGCGCGAAAGCGUGGGGAGCGAACAGG
rnacentral:rRNA from 1 species